rnacentral:rRNA from 1 species
CGAGGGUGCAAGCGUUGCUCGGAAUUAUUGGGCGUAAGGGGAGGUAGGUGGUCUCGUUUGUCCGAGGUGAAAUCCCUAGGCUUAACCUAGGACGUGCCUCGGAAACGGCGAGACUGGAGUACUGGAGAGGCUAGCGGAAUACCCGGUGUAGCGGUGAAAUGCGUAGAGAUCGGGUGGAACACCAGAGGCGAAGGCGGCUAGCUGGACAGUUACUGACACUAAACUCCGAAAGCGUGGGGAGCAAACAGGAUUAGAUACCCUGGUAGUCCACGCUGUAAACGAUGAGAACUAGGUUUCGCGGGUCUUGACCCCUCGCGGAGCCGGAGCUAACGCGAUAAGUUCUCCGCCUGGGGAGGUACGGUCGCAAGACUA